rnacentral:rRNA from 1 species
GACGGGACCCGCACAAGCAGCGGAGCAUGUGGUUUAAUUCGAAGCAACGCGAAGAACCUUACCAGAUCUUGACAUCCAAUUGACCAUCUUUAAUCGAGAUUUUGCCUUCGGGUACAAUUGAGACAGGUGGUGCAUGGUUGUCGUCAGCUCGUGUCGUGAGAUGUUGGGUUAAGUCCCGCAACGAGCGCAACCCUUGUGUUUAGUUGCAAACAGGUCAAGCUGUGCACUCUAGACAGACUGCCGUGGACAACACGGAGGAAGGUGGGGAUGACGUCAAAUCAUCAUGCCCCUUAUGAUCUGGGCUACACACGUGCUACAAUGGCCGGUACAACGGGCAGCGAAGGAGCGAUCCGGAGCGAAUCCUAAAAAGCCGGUCCCAGUUCGGAUUGCAGGCUGAAACUCGCCUACAUGAAGUUGGAGUUGCUAGUAAUCGCGAAUCAGAAUGUCGCGGUGAAUGCGUUCCCGGGUCUU